rnacentral:piRNA from 1 species
UGAUAAGCCUGUAAUAUCACUAUUGUGGU